rnacentral:rRNA from 1 species
UACAGAGGGUGCAAGCGUUGUUCGGAAUUAUUGGGCGUAAAGCGCGUGUAGGCGGCCUUGCAAGUUGGGUGUGAAAGCCCUCGGCUUAACCGAGGAAGUGCGCCCAAAACUACGAGGCUUGAGUACCGGAGAGGGUGGCGGAAGUUCCCGGUGUAGAGGUGAAAUUCGUAGAUAUCGGGAGGAACACCAGUGGCGAAGGCGGCCACC